rnacentral:lncRNA from 1 species
CUGUUGCUAGGUCAAAUACAUGUCCCCCUGACCCUUCUGUUGGACAUACUGUUGCUAGGUGAAACACAUGUCCCUAUGACCCUUCUGUUGGACUUACUGUUGCUAGGUCAAAUACAUGUCCCCCUGACCCUUCUGUUGGACAUACUGUUGCUCGGUCAAAUACAUGUCCCCCGGACCCUUCUGUUGGACAUACUGUUGCUAGGUCAAAUACAUGUCCCCCUGACCCUUCUAUUGGACAUACUGUUGCUAGGUCAAAUAAAUGUCCCCACUGACCCUUCUGUUGGACAUACUGUUGCUAGGUGAAAUACAUGUCCCUACGACCCUUCUGUUGGACUUACUGUUGCUAGGUCAAAUACAUGUCCCCUGACCCUUCUAUUGGACAUACUGUUGCUAGGUCAAAUAAAUGUCCCCACUGACCCUUCUGUUGGACAUACUGUUGCUAGGUCAAAUACAUGUCCCCCUGACCCUUCCGUUGGACAUACUGUUGCUAGGUAAAAUACAUGUCCCCCUGACCCUUCUGUUGGACAUACUGUUGCUAGGUCAAAUAGAUGUCCCCCGGACCCUUCUGUUGCUAGGUCAAAUACAUGUCCCCCGAUCCUUCUGUUGGACAUACUGUUGCUAGGUCAAAUACAUGUCCCCC